rnacentral:rRNA from 1 species
CUGCGCUGAGCAGGCCUAACACAUGCAAGUCGAACGGUAGCACAGAGAGCUUGCUCUCGGGUGACGAGUGGCGGACGGGUGAGUAAUGUCUGGGAAACUGCCUGAUGGAGGGGGAUAACUACUGGAAACGGUAGCUAAUACCGCAUAACGUCGCAAGACCAAAGAGGGGGACCUUCGGGCCUCUUGCCAUCAGAUGUGCCCAGAUGGGAUUAGCUAGUAGGUGGGGUAACGGCUCACCUAGGCGACGAUCCCUAGCUGGUCUGAGAGGAUGACCAGCCACACUGGAACUGAGACACGGUCCAGACUCCUACGGGAGGCAGCAGUGGGGAAUAUUGCACAC